AAUGAACGCUGGCGGCGGGCCUAACACAUGCAAGUCGAUCGGACACACGAUGAGCUUUUUCCCUUACCGUUUGCGGCUGGCGGACGGGUGACACAUGGAUAGCCUACCUCUUAUUCUGGGAGGAUUACGUGGAACCGCUUCUACUACCACCUAAUACAUUCUACCGGUGGAUGCAAUGGUGAGUGACGGCUUUCCCGUCUCUUAUAGCCGAAUCCGCGCCGCAUUAGCUAGUUGGUAAGGUAACACCUUACCAAGGCUACGAUGCGUAGCCGACCUGAGAGGGUGAUCAGCCACACUGGAACUGAGACACGGUCCAGACUCCUACGGGAGGCAGCAGUAGGGAAUAUUCGGCAAUGGGCGAAAGCCUGAUCGAGCCACGCCGCGUGAGUGAUGAAGGUCUUCGGAUCGUAAAACUCUGUUAUUGGGAAAGAACAGCUGCAUGUGAAAACAUGAACGUCUUGACGGUACCUAAAGAGAAAGCAACGGCUAACUACGUG
rnacentral:rRNA from 1 species